rnacentral:rRNA from 1 species
CUGCGGAAGGAUCAUUGUCGAGACCCGAACGAAAGAGCAAAUCGACGGAGAACAUGUCAACCACCAAGUAUGCCGCUUCGGCGGGGUGCGUGUUAGUUAGGACGAUCGGACGCUUCCUUGGCGUUCCCUCUUCCUAGGUAGCCGCCCCCAUCGGACGGAUUAUGUCGCGCCGUUGCUCCCGGUCCGGGGGACGGCGGCGGACGAACGGAUAAAACAGGCACGAUACGUGUCAAGGAUCUUCACAAUCAUAGCUAUAGGUAGCCUUCCGUUUAGUGCGGCGCCGGGUUUCGACGACUCUCGCCCGCUUGCGGGAGCUAACUAGCUAUUGAAAAGUCAUAUCUACGAUGACUCUCGGCAACGGAUAUCUAGGCUCUCGCAUCGAUGAAGAACGUAGCGAAAUGCGAUACUUGGUGUGAAUUGCAGAAUCCCGUGAACCAUCGAGUCUUUGAACGCAAGUUGCGCCCGAGACCUUCAGGUCGACGGCACGCCUGCCUGGGAGCCAUGCCUCGUGUCGCUCCGCGCACCCCAUGCAUGCCGAUCAAGCAGGCAUCGGGGCAGCCGACGGAAGUGGAGAUUGGCGUACCGUGUCCCUUCGUGGUGCGGUGGGCUAAAGAAUGGGAUGUCAAUGCGGCGGCGUAGGGACACGACCAGUGGUGGACGGACAAACCCGUUGUUGGCCCGCGGCCGGCGUCGUUCCCCUCCCUUGGCAUCUAUCGGGCGGCACAAUCCCUCCUCGCUCGCUCGGAGAGAGGAUUGCCGUCGCCUCUCGCGUCGCGACCCCAGGUCAGGCGGGACCACC